rnacentral:misc_RNA from 1 species
AACAUCGCGCACCUGCGGGAACCUGCGGAAGGAUCAUCAUCGAAUUCAUAUCCCCCUCCUCUCCCGGAGGGGGACCCAUGAUAAACCCUUCUGUGCACCGUAAACCGUUCACUUUGGCAGGCUUUGGUGGUGAGCGUGAGCUCGCCUCCAACCUCGCGUUCCCUCCUCCUAAGGGGGUGUUUCGCGUGGCGGCCUGCCAGAGUCCUCCCAUUAAAAACACGUUUUCGAACACGUCUGAAA